UACGGGGGGGGCAAGCGUUGUUCGGAAUUACUGGGCGUAAAGGGCUCGUAGGCGGCCAACUAAGUCAAACGUGAAAUCCCUCGGCUUAACCGGGGAACUGCGUCUGAUACUGGAUGGCUUGAGUUUGGGAGAGGGAUGCGGAAUUCCAGGUGUAGCGGUGAAAUGCGUAGAUAUCAGGAGGAACACCAAUUGCGAAGGCAGCUCGCUGGGACGUUACUGACGCUGAGACGCGAAAGCGUGGGGAGCAAACAGG
rnacentral:rRNA from 1 species